UCCGUCUUGACAACGGCAGUCUCCUAAGAGUGCUCGGCUUGAUCCGGUCGCAACUUAGGACAAGGGUUUCGCUCGUUACGGGACUUAACCCAACAUCUCACGACACGAGCUGACGACAGCCAUGCAGCACCUGUGCACGUUCCACCCUUGCGGGCGUUCAGCAACCUUUCGGCCACCUAAUCCGUGCAUGUCAAGCCCAGGUAAGGUUCUUCGCGUUGCGUCGAAUUGAACCACAUGCUCCACCGCUUGUGUGAGCCCCCGUCAAUUCCUUUGAGUUUUACCCUUGCGAGCAUACUCCCCAGGCGGGGCACUUAACGCGUUAGCUCCGGCAGAGAGAAACAUAGGAAUUUCCCUCUACCCAGUGCCCAUCGUUUACAGCUAGGACUAC
rnacentral:misc_RNA from 1 species